GACGAACGCUGGCGGCGUGCUUAACACAUGCAAGUCGAGCGGUAAGGCCCUUUCGGGGGUACACGGGCGGCGAACGGGUGAGUAACACGUGGGUGACCUGCCCUCAGCUCUGGGAUAAGCCUGGGAAACUGGGUCUAAUACCGGAUAUGACUCCAUGACGCAUGUUGUGGGGUGGAAAGCCUUGUGCGGCUGAGGAUGGGCCCGCGGCCUAUCAGCUUGUUGGUGGGGUGAUGGCCUACCAAGGCGACGACGGGUAGCGGCCUGAGA
rnacentral:rRNA from 1 species